UAGGGAAUCUUCGGCAAUGGACGGAAGUCUGACCGAGCAACGCCGCGUGAGUGAAGAAGGUUUUCGGAUCGUAAAGCUCUGUUGUAAGAGAAGAACGAGUGUGAGAGUGGAAAGUUCACACUGUGACGGUAUCUUACCAGAAAGGGACGGCUAACUACGUGCCAGCAGCCGCGGUAAUACGUAGGUCCCGAGCGUUGUCCGGAUUUAUUGGGCGUAAAGCGAGCGCAGGCGGUUAGAUAAGUCUGAAGUUAAAGGCUGUGGCUUAACCAUAGUACGCUUUGGAAACUGUUUAACUUGAGUGCAAGAGGGGAGAGUGGAAUUCCAUGUGUAGCGGUGAAAUGCGUAGAUAUAUGGAGGAACACCGGUGGCGAAAGCGGCUCUCUGGCUUGUAACUGACGCUGAGGCUCGAAAGCGUGGGGAGCAAACAGGAUUAGAUACCCUGGUAGUCCACGCCGUANCGAUGAGUGCUAGGUGUUAGACCCUUUCCGGGGUUUAGUGUCGCAGCUAACGCAUUAAGCACUCCGCCUGGGGAGUACGACCGCAAGGUUG
rnacentral:rRNA from 1 species